UUACCAAUUUAUUCAUCGAGGAAUCCCGAAAAGGUUAAAGCGUGCAUCCUAUUCGAAAACUAUACAUCUUAACAAAGACAAAAGAGUUGCUUGGGCUCAGCAGCAAGAGUUAAAGAUUCGAGUAAAAAGAUCAAUAUCUUUUAAUGAUGUUUGGUGGCGAAAGCAAUGGUAUCUGUACAGGCAGGAUGAUGAUUAUUUUGGACAUGAUUUAAAUUUGCUUCCUGUUUGGAGAAGAGGAAUUACGGGAAAAGGUGUUGUGAUAUCGAUAUUAGAUGAUGGAAUUGAGCAUACACAUCCAGAACUAAAAGGAAACUAUGAUUCUAGAGCCAGCUUUGACUUUAAUAGCAAUGAUACUGAUCCUUCACCAAGAAGUAACUGGCGUGAAGA
rnacentral:lncRNA from 1 species